rnacentral:lncRNA from 12 species
CCGAUAACACAUCCCAACGUGCCCAGAACUCCCCCAUCCAGCCCACAGGGAUCCUCACCCCUCCCCCCCUCCCUCCCUCACACAUCCUUCCUCCAAAUCUGCAAAAAGGGAAAAAAAAUAAUCAUAAUAAAACCAGUUCUCACCAACGAGGGGGAGGGGAGGAGUAGGAGGGGGAGGAAAGGAGGAGGCUGAGCCCACUGCACAGAUCCGCCUCCGCUGCCUGCAACCAGACCCUCGGAGAGCCGGAGCGCGCGACAGGCGGCGGGAGGACACUGGCUUCCAAAAAAAUAAACCUACAAUGUAAAAAUACCGCCGGGCGCCCCACGCUAAUUGGGCCCGGGCGACCGCAGCUCACAGGGCUGCAUCUCUGGAGUGUGCUCCUGCCCCCUACCCUGCCCCCUGGAGCAUCUGCCUGAGGCUC